UACAGAGGUCUCAAGCGUUGUUCGGAUUCAUUGGGCGUAAAGGGUGCGUAGGCGGCGCGGUAAGUCGGGUGUGAAAUCUCGGAGCUUAACUCCGAAACUGCAUUCGAUACUGCCGUGCUUGAGGACUGGAGAAGAGACUGGAAUUUACGGUGUAGCGGUGAAAUGCGUAGAUAUCAAGUGGAACACCAGUGGCGAAGGCGAGUCCCUGGACAUCUCCUGACACUGAGGCACGAAAGCUAGGGGAGCAAACAGG
rnacentral:rRNA from 1 species